ensembl:lncRNA
AGUCUAAUUUGAAGAUCUGAGCUGCUGGGACUCACAGUCGGACGAGCUAGUGAUCAGCUGAAGGCAUCUACCCGCCCACCCACACAUACAACUACAACUGUCGCACCCUUUGGUUAUCUGUGGGAAAUGUCUGCUGUAGCUUCUGCAUCUCUCUGCUGGACCUUGCUGUCUGUCUGCCUCCUGCUCGUCUCUGCAGAGCAGAAAACCAUCACAGCUGAGUCUGGACAGGACGUCACUCUGACAUGUCGAGGUCCAAACAACAACAUCACAGUUUUAGAGUGGAGCAGAGCUGACCUGGGAGAUGAAAAUGUGCUUUUGUACCACAAUGAUCGUUUUGAUCCAGACGACCAGCAUCCAUCUUUUAAGAACCGGGUGGAUCUGCAGGACAGACAGAUGAAGGAUGGAGACGUGUCUCUGAUUCUGAAGAAUGUGACGAUUAAUGAUGCUGGAACAUACGAGUGUCGUGUAAUCACAACAGGAACAAACCGCAGGAAGGGAGCUAAUCUGGGUGUCAGCAUCAUCCACCUUCAUGUUGUUCCUCCAGUUCACUGGAACAUCCAGAGGGCUGUGACUACAAAUCAGCUUCAACACAGUCAGACUGUCUUUGUGUUAGCUGGCUCAACUAAACCUGAAACUGCAGUCAGAGACAGCUCUCUACAACUGCUGUCAGCAAAAAGAACUUUUACAUCUUCAAACAAAUGAAGGCAACACUUGAACAUGAAAUAUUUUCACACCUGAAUGUUUCAAUCAAGAUCUGAUUUCAGUUUCUCUUUAUCUUUGUGAGCUGUGUGGUUUGUUUACCCUCAGUAUCCAUGAACAGUGU